GGCUCAGGAUAGUUUGUUGAUAGUUGAUUAAGACGAGAAUUAAUCUCGGAGUUGCAUCAUAGGAAGUAAGGGUUCGUAGCUCUACACCUUCUUGGUUAGUUAGGAGCCCACGUGUCACUGUAAACGAAAUUUCAUACUUUAAUUAUCUUUAUUACUAUAUGAAUAAAUUUAUUUUACUCUUACGCUACAAAAAUUAUUUU
rnacentral:lncRNA from 1 species